UCCCUGGUGGCUCAGAGGGUAAAGUGUCUGCCUGCAAUGCAGGAGACCUGGGUUCAAUCCCCAGGGUCAGGGAG